ACACGGCAACACUGCCUCCCCAAGCCCUAUACUGUCCUGUGAUCUGCCAAGCACUUUCCUAACAAGAGCUCUGGGGGACAAGGGCAUGGCGGUGGACUAUUCUUCAUCUACAGGGAGGAGAAACUAAGGACAAGGGAGAGGAACUAAUUUGCUGAAGGUCACGUGGCUAGUGUCAUAGCCAGAUCUUCCGAUCUCCAGGUCAAGUGGUAUCCACCAUACCCUACUGACAAAAGCAGGCACCCGAUACUUAAAAUCGCUAAUGAUUAAACUGUCUCCAGGUUGGAUGCGAAGGACAAACCACACAUACAGGUUGGAUGUGGUGAGCUAGGAACAGACGCUGGGAAUCAACUGCUCAUGGCAGAGCUUUGAGACGAGGAUGAAGUGGAGUAGCCCUAGGGCAAAAUCUACACGGGGGAGGAUAUGAAGAAGGCUGAAAAAAAAUAAAUGCAGUUUAAUUAAUGAAAUCUAUAUCCAAUGCUGAAGAAAUUCUGGGCUUCAGAUGACCAGAGAAUUCACCAAAAAGGCAUCAACCCCCAGAGCCGAACAGAGAACUACACCAAAGGAGAACUUAAUGAAGACUCUAAAAAAAGGGAUGCAGAGUCACUUCAAUCAAGACUUCCAUUAAGUCUUGACAGCUUUGAGUGUGGAAUAUGUUGGCUAGAUCAGAGUCUUUAAUAAUGGCCUGCCUGGCCCAGCCUCCCGGAUCCAUGAUUCAAAGAUGUUUGUGUAGAUGAAUAUUAUACUCUGAACUCAUCUAAUUUUUCAAGUAUAAUGGU